UCCAGCCCGCUGCGUGACCCGUGGAUACUCUCGCAUGACUGAUCAAGAACUAUGAGCGUAGCAGAGGAGACCUUAGCCCCUGCACACGGCCCGGGAGACCCCAUGCAUGGACCUGUCAAUGUUGUCAUUGAUGCCGUUGGUGCUGAAUCAAGAGCUGCAAAAGAGCACGGACACAUUGAUCUUUUGUGCCGCCAGGAGUAGCUUCAGGGAGGUUCAAAGACAUUCCCAGACUGGAUCACCUUGAGGAGCUCGCUUCAGGCGCUCUUAGCGCUGCUGACUUGCAAAUGAAAGGCGCCCGUCGAUGGGAGCUGGCAUGAAAAUAUGUUUUAAAGACCCUUGAAAAGACACGGUGACCGCUCAACGCACUCACAGCCACUGGGGCGCGGCUCACAAAACAUAUUCAGGCUUUUCAUUUUGAUUUGAUCUGCAGGGAAGCGAAUGUAAAGUUGAUUGGGAGAAUUGGUAGAUUGGGUUUACUUAAAUAUAAAAUGUUCUCUAAUAAACCAUAAACUUAUAAUAAACUAGGGCCUUCAUCAUCAGCUGAGUCAGUGAUGUACACAUUAUUAUUUUAUAUAAUUUAGCUUGUAUUGUAAAAACUUUAAAGAAAUCAGAAAUCUGUUUGUGGUCAUAGGUAUUAAUUACACUGAUACUAUCAGACUCUGACAUUCCUGCACUGAAUAGGAUUUAAAACAAAUGCAUCCUCUCUGAAUAUAUUCAUUUUCUAUCAUAGCCAGCGGUUUAUUUUGAAUGAGCAGCAUUUAGUAAAUUGCAGAUUGCAACUGUGGGUGAGGAAGAUUCAGACGUGUUGAGUAAAUACUGCUCAGCAAACAAGACGGUGGCGCCUCUCCUCGCUCCGUCCCCCUGGCUGCUAGCGAAGCGACCCAGAAACGGACUCCGGGACGGCCGGGCCGAAGACAAAACACAUGCUAAUGCGUGACCCGGCUCUCGAGCCUCACCUCCCGCCACAGAGAAGCACAGCUCUCAAGCACGGCCAACCUGGUCCUUAUUCCAUGAAUGGGAGGCCCUCGUCUCCCGACGCUGAGACACAUAACCAUACUUGCAUCCUCCAGACAGAGGGCCCUCUCCUCCCCUCCAGUGCCCCCUGCCCCCGGUAAGACCAGUCCCCAUCUCUGCUGGGCUCAAGGACCCUUCAGACAUCUACUGAGAAAGAGCAGAGGGGUGGGAAAACGAAGGAGAAGAGACCGGCAUAGAAGAGAGAAGGAGACGCCUAUUGCGUCGGGCCCCUCAGGGUUAUGGCUAUAGUUCAUGUUGUGUAUUAAUGUGUGAAGCGCUGCUAUUCUCUGUGAUGCUAAUCUCACCGUGUCUUUGUUGUGCUGGCUGGUGUCUGCUGGUGUCACAUGCACUCGUCGCUCCCCUCUUCCUCCGCUUUCUUCUCCUCGCGCGCUUCCCUUUUGGAGUGGACGAUCACAGGCAGUAAUAGGGGGUAAACAGCGCUGUUGUCUAAA